GUCUAGGGAGCUGCUCAGGCUCCGUGGUGAUCCCAGAGGGCUCGGGUCCUUCUCUAGAGAUCAGGCCUUGAGCUGGGCAGAGUCCGGGGCUUCUCACGGCAUCUGCUGGAGCCUUGCAGAGAUUUCGCCUUCUCCUUUCUUCGCUGGAAGCCUUUGAUAUUUCUCUUAAUUCGGCAACUAGUUUUUUCUGUGUAAUUCGCCAUCCACAGACUGUGCUACCACACUGACUUGCUUUAAACAGUAUCUCCCUCUAACUAGGUUAUUAGGUGAUAAGUUUUUACAGCAAGUUUCUGAAGCUGUCUACCUUUCUUCACCUCUGAAGUGCUGAGUCUUGUCUCGUGUUAAGCGUUUUCUUCUAAGUGUGGCCAGCAUUGAUACAGAAGUGCAGGUUCUUAUUUUGCUCAUCUGUGUGAAUACCCAGGAAUGCCUUUCAGUGGGAGCGUUGCUAACCCAGCAGAGCCUUUGGGAGCCGGGCUCGUUUCUCUGUUGUGAUCGGCAGUGCAGGUGCCAUUGCUUCCCCCGUCAGAGCCCAGUCUGCCUGGCACCGGUGGUGUCCUCUGUUUUACUCUCAUCCCCAGCCCCGCUCCUGGGUUCUGCAGCUGCCUUGGUUGUGCCAUGACCUGUCCAUCUCCCAGGACAGCACAACUGGGAGUUCACAUGGGUGGCUUCCUUCUCCUCACUUGCCACACUGUGCCGGCCACAGUUUUCUCUUACGAGGCCUCAUGACUUCUCACCUGCUGGAGCUUUCUAAUAGGGCUUCCUGCUUCCUGCCUUCUGACAGCUCCCAUCCCUUUUCAGUCAUUCUUGGACGAGGGUGGUGUCCACUGGUGCCCCCACCCCAUUGCCUUCAGUAGCAGGUGUGCCCUGUGUGUCUGCGACCUGGCGCUCCGCUGCCCUCUGGCUCGCUCUCUCUGUCAGCACCAGGGCCGCACGUGGUCCCUUCCUCUCCAUCUGCUCAGGGGCCCCCACCACCUGGCCCUCUCCUCUCUCUCCCUUCUGAGUUGUAGUCUUAAAAUUGUCUCUUUAGCCGGGCGUGGUGGCUCAUGCCUGUAGUCUCAACACUUUGGGAGGCCGAGGAGGGCAGAUCGCUUGAGGUCAGGAGUUCGAGACCAGCCUGGCCAACAUGGUGAAACCCCGUCUCUACUAAAAAUACAAAAAUUAGCCAGGCGCGGUGGCGCGCACCUGUAAUCCCGGCUGCUCAGGAGGGUGAGGCACAAGAAUCGCUUGAACCCAGGAAGCAGAGGUUGCAGUGAGCCGAGAUGGUGCCAUUGCACUCCAGCCAGGGUGACAGAGUGAGACUCCGUCUCCCAAAAAAAAAAAAAAAAGAGACUCCGUCUCUUUACCUGUGUGUGUCUCCUCCAACCCAAGCUCAGUAGAAUAAUAGCAAACAAAAUACAAUGGUGUUGGUUUGUUUGGGGAGCUACUUUCCUCUAAAGCGAAGUGUUCACUAAGACAUUCUAACCGUCCUGCUUUGGUGCAUUCAACAGGUUUUCUCCUCGGCCCAGGCCCUUGUGUAGCAAAAAAGUGGAAUAUGAACUGAAAUCUGGGGUCUCCCUUUGACAGGAAAUUGCCAUCUUGCCAAUGUUUUUCAGAUACACACUUGACCCAAACGGUGCCUUUUCCGGCUUCAUUGGAGCUUGUGAACUUGUUUGCAGGUUUGACUUCCUAUAUUGUUUGACCUCAUGGAUACAGUUUUCUCUUACUUAGUUGUAUGUGAGGGAUCAGAGAAGUUCAGAGGUAGAAGGGACUCACUUAAUAGCACGCUCUAUUUUGCAGUUAGGGAAGUCGAGUCCAGAGAGAAGAUGAUGUUCAUGGAGAGAACCGAAGCCAGAAGGGGAACCAGAGCGCGUGCCUUAGUGCCUCCCUGGCGUUCUUCCCAGCAUUGCUUGUUGCCUCCUGGACAGAUAAGCACCUCCGUCUUCAUUGAUGACUUGGGGGCCAGGCACGGUGCUGGACUGUAGUGCUACCAAAAAGGACUGAUGAGCUAUAGUCCGUGGGCUUGGCCCUGCCCUGCUCCUGGUUUUGUAUGACCUGCAAGCUCAGAAUGGAUUUUACAUUUCCUGAUUUUGGAAAAAGAAAAAAAUCGGGAGGAAUAUUUACUAACGUGAAAAUAUAAGAAAUUAAGAUUUCUGUGUUCACACAUAAAGUUUUCUUGGAACACAGCUAACCAUCCAUUACUAUGAAUGAAUGGAGCUAUCCAUUCAUUUACUUCCACCACCAAUCCCGGCUAAUUUUUGUAUUUUUAGUAGAGACAGGGUUUCACCACGUUGGCCAGGCUGGUCUCAAACUCCUGACCUCAAGUGAUCCACCUGCCUUGGCCUCCCAAAAUGCUGGAUUACAGGCGUGAGCCACUGCAUCUGACCUACUUGGCUCUUUACAGAGAGGAUACCUGAUCUCUGCUCUUAGGAGGCCAUAGAUCUGUGAGCCCCCUUUUUUGUCCACAAAAGUCGUGUGUGUGUGUGUGUGUGUGUAUAUGUGUAUAUACACACAUGUGUAUGUGUGUGUAUAUAUACACACGUACGUGUGUAUAUAUACACAUAUGUAUGUGUGUAUAUGUGUAUGCAUGUGUAUAUAUACGUAUGUGUAUAUGUGUAUGCAUAUGUGUAUACUUGUGUGUAUGUUUAUACAUAUAUGUAUGUAUGUGUAUAUAUGUAUCUAUAUACACAUGUACAUAUGGGUAUAUAUGUAUCUAUAUGCACAUAUAUGUACAUGUGUGUAUAUGUAUCUAUAUGCAUAUAUAUGUGCAUGUGUGUAUAUGUAUCUAUACACAUACAUGUACAUAUGUGUAUGUAUAUAUGUGUAUAUAUGUAUACAUGAGUAUAUAUGUACAUAUGUGUAUAGAUACAUAUAUGUACAGAUGUGUAUAUAUGUGCAUGUAUACAUGUAUGUAUAUAUGUGCAUAUAUGCAUGUAUGUAUAUAUGUGCAUAUAUGCAUGUAUGUAUAUAUGUGCAUAUAUGCAUGUAUGUAUAUAUGUGCAUAUAUGCAUGUAUGUAUAUAUGUGCAUAUAUGCAUGUAUACAUGUAUACGUAUAUAUGCAUGUAUACAUGUAUACGUAUAUAUGCAUAUAUACAUGUAUACAUAUAUACGUAUAUAUGUAUAUAUACAUGUAUACAUAUAUACGUAUAUAUGUAUAUAUACAUGUAUACAUAUAUGUGUAUAUGUGUGUGUGUAUAUAUAUACACACAUUUUUUGUUUUGAGAACCCUUGAUUUUCAAAACUUCGAGCCAACAAGGUUAAGAGCUCUAGUCCUUAACCCGCACGUCCAGUUUUGGUUGGAGACCACCUCCAAUGCGAUCUUGCUGGUUCCCUCUCGUGUGUUAGUUCUUUCAAAAUGAACUGCAGCCCUCGCCAGAUCCACAUUGCGCUUUCACCACAUGUGAAACAAUUCGCAACAAGAACCUUCAUUCCUUUAUAUUUCUUAUAUAAGGAAGAUAAUAAUAGCUUCCAUUUAAAUGAGGAUUUAGUGACUUCCUUUCUAAAAAACAUCCAUCCACACAUGUGGCAUUGGUUAAACCAAAAGGGAUGUGUAAGCAUAGAAUCUUAAAUUAUUUUACCUUGUUGUGCGGAGUUGGGAGGUUGGGUUGGGAAUGACAGUAUUUUUCCAAGGCCCUCACCAUCAUUUUUCUCCAAAGCUAUGAUCUCUACCCCUCUCUCACUUCUGCCUGGGCGCUGGUCAGAUCAGCCCUGACCCCUGUAUACUGCUGAGAAUAUAAUCACUAGUUAGAGGAAAAUAGAAGCUGUUAGGGAGCAUUUUUAGGACAGUGGUGAAUGACAUCCCCUGCGGCCUUGAUCUAAAUCAGGCUUGCAGAUUAACGAGGAGGAAGUCUUUCUGGAAGAAAAGCAACUGCAAAGCUGGUGGAGCCCCUGACAGCAGGCCUCCUGUGGAUUUGGGAGGGUCAGUUCUGUCGCUGCCCUGGUACCUGUGCAGAGAAGAGCUUUGUUAUACUCUGCUAGAUCGUAAGCUCCAAGAAAGCAUUUUGUUUUUCCAGACUAAAUCGAACUGUGCCCAGAAUGGUGCCUGCCGUGUAGUCGGUGCUCUGCAAGUACUUGUGGAUGGAGUGAUUCCAGUAGAAUGGGUGCGCAUGGAAGACAAGGGUUGUUGUAAGGAGUCAUUUGUGGCCUGGGUCUUUUGCUCAGAGAGGAGGGAAGGAGAGCAGGAGGGGAGAAAUGCUAUUGAAAUAACAACAUAUAUGGCCAGAAACACAGACAUUCCAGAAAGCCCUCGUUCGCCCUCUGGCACAUGCUUCCUGAAUGAGGAGAAGCCGCGCUGAAGCUCUGUUAGGCUGUUGGUCCACACUCAGACACUUUUUAAGCCAUUGUUUGUUUUUACUUUCUAGACUAAUUUUAGAGCUACGUAAAGAAACUGAUUUGUUUUUCUAAAACUAAUUGAAGUAGAUACUGGUGGAGUCAUUGGGAAACGAACCAUCAUUCAAAACAUUAAUCAUAUACUGAAGGAAUAUUUUUGCCACCAAAAACCACAGAUAUUUGAAUAUCUGUGAACCCAAAGAAUGAAUGUUUCUGGAGUAUUUUCACACACACUCACUUUUAUAGAAUAACCAUAUAUGUGUUUGCUUUUUAAUUAUUUUAAGUAUGACGCAAAGGCUUAAAUGAAUAUAUUAUUUCACUCAGAAAUGUGAGAAAUUCUAAAAUUUAGGUGAUGCAGCUAGCUGUCUUCUUUCUCUCUAUCAAUGUUUAAUGGUAAUUUCUUGCUCUUUUAAUUCCCUAAUGAAUUAAUCCUACAAAAGAAGUAAUUGCUUUUAAAAACUGGAUUAUCGUAACUUUGUCCUUUCAUGGAUUCAAACAUAUAAUUCAUCAUCAUUCCGUAAGUAUGAAAUUUCAGAAAAUGCUAUUAGCAAACUUAAAACAAAUAGGUGUAAACCUUAUCAGUGUUGUGACAUAGGGUUGGCUUUUGGAUUUCAUAUUGAAGCCAACAGACCUAGUAGGAAAAUGACUGAGGAAAUAUUAAUACCUUAGCACACCUUGCAUUUCAUGAGCAUUUCAACCAAAGGAAACUCCUAAGAGAAAGUGUUGAGGAAAACCUGGCUGCUUCUGAGGAGCUGGAGUGUGAUUUCCUCUCAGUAAGAAUAUGAGUAGAUGAUCCAUCUCCCUUUCCUCUGUGAUUAUCAGGGAAGUAUAAGAGGCACAGCUGCCCUCUAGGAAGAAGCCCCAGGGCUUUCUAGGGCCUUUUAUGAUUUAGUCUCAGAAAUUAGAACUUAACCCCAGGGAAGAUUAACAAAUCAGGAGACCAGGCCAGGUGUGGUGGCUCACACUUGUAAUCCCAGCGCUUUGGGAAGCUGAAGCUGGAGGAUAGCUUGAGGCCAGGAGUUUGAGACCAGCCUGGGCAACAUAGUAAGGACCCCAUCUUCAUAAAAAUAACUAUUUUCCUAGGUUUUGAAGGUUUUUGUUUUUUUUUUUUAAAUUAUCCAGGCAUGAGGCCAAGGCGGGCGGAUCAUGAGGUCAGGAGAUCAAGACCAUCCUGGCUAACAGUGAAACCCUGUCUCUACUAAAAAUACAAAAAAAAUUAGCCAGGCGUGGUGGCAGGUGCCUGUAGUCCCAGCUACUCGGGAGGCUGAGGCAGGAGAAAGGCGUGAACCCAGGAGGCAAGAGGUUGCUGUGAGCCGAGAUCACGCCACUGCACUCCAGCCUGGGCAAUUGAGCAAGACUGCGUCUCCACCAAAAAAAAAAUCCAGGCAUGGUGACUACAUGCCCCCUGUAGUCCCAGCUACUUAAGAGGCUGAGGUGGGAGGAUUGCUUGAGCCCAGUAAAUCAAGGCUACAGUGAGCUAUGGUUGCACCACUACACUCCAGCCUAUUCCACAGAGCAAGACCCUGUCUCAAAAAGAAAAAAAAACGAAAAGGCAGCAGUGCCCAGACCAGCGCCCAGAGGUAGCAGCUAUUCCCUGGGGCCACAGCAGGAAACCUCCACUUGAAAAGAGAAGACAUUUGAAGUCAAGUUACAGCAAACAGGCAAUUAGAAGUGUGUUUGAGGGUUUGAUCAAGAAAGAUUUCAGUUUGAAACCCCACAAAUGAUUGACAUGUCCUGUAUAGUGGGUCCAUGCUAGAGGCUUCCACAUGUGUUAUCUUGCUUAUUCUUUUCAAGAGCAAACCCACUUACACAAGGAAAGGGUCCAGAAGCUAGAAAUCAAACGAGAGGGGAGUAGUCCUUUGAGACAUGUAGAUGCACAGCCUCCCUCCUUUCUAAGCAUUUAAUAGGUAUCCUCAGGCAGAAUGAUGUGAUGCCCAGCAGCAGGUGGGUUCCUCAGUUCCUCAGAGUGAGCAUAGUGGUCCGCAAACCUGCGUGUGCUUAAGGAUUCUAGUGCAGAGUUUCAGGCAUAGAGCCCGUAGAGAAGAUGCUCUUGUCCAGCUGGAGCCAGUCUGCUUACUCCCAGGAAUCUUUAAAAACAUGCACACCAUAAUGAUUUUAUUUUAAAACUUAAUAAAUCUGCAUUAUUUUCCAAUGAUUGAUGUCGAACCAAGGCCCUUUCCAAGGGAGUGCUUGCGUUUGCCACUUGGAAGAGCCAAGGACUUUUGAACAUGGAUUCAUUGCUUGGAGCCCUCUCUUGUGUAAAGCAUGCUCGUAAUGUAUCACUUACUGUUACCACUUUGGAUUUCUUCAAAGUAGAGCAAAACUUAGGUGUACUUAGAAAUCUGAGUACAGCCCUAGCCUUUUUGAUUUUUCUCAUUUUCUCACACCUGGUUUUGACAACAGUUUUUAGUCUAGAGCCUUUCCAAAUCAUUCAAUGUAGUUUUCUUUGAAACAUCAGCUCCCCUUUUGUAAUCAUCCCCUGUUGUAUGUAAAAAUGAAUUAAAUAUAACAAGUUCAGCUAGCCAAAAAAGUGUAAGAGGAAGGAGAGCGUUCCCUCUAUCCUCUUAGGUUUGUGGCUGGGGCCUGUGAAUUACAGUGGUGAAAGACAUAUUAACAGGAGAAAAGGACAUAUACAUUUAAUUGGUGUUUUAAAUUUUAUGUUCCCAAGAGGUCUCCACACAAAAGAGGAAACCCCAAAGAAGUGGUUAGGUUUGAGGGCUCAUAUACCAUUUUAACAAAGGAUGAUAAAUUGCGGAGAAGUUCCUAGACAAAAGAAAGUGGGGUUUCUAGGCUUCUUGGGGGUGGUAAAAUGUGGGGAGGUGGAUAUACGGGGAAACAAAUGGAAGACAAAGGCUGUUUAGUAAGGUCUGUUGAUGCCGUCUCGGCCCAGUUUCAUCUCUCUGGUAAUGAAUUGUUUUCCUUUUCCUGGUACGGGAAAGUGGGAAUACCUUUACAGACAGGAAUUUAAGCCCUUUCAGGCAGCAAUAGAGAGUUCUUUCUGCAUCUGUUGCUUCUCAGUUGCCUUUAGCUAAAAAUAAUCCGUAUUCAAAAGUGGCAUAUUUUAGAAUUGCAUAUUCUGAUUCCCGUCAGAAGUUUAGGGAACGAACCCUGCCAGCUCUUCAGCAGCCAUAUCCCGAGGGGAAGAGUCACGUGUGAGCUGUGUGGAGUCCCGUGACCAUCUCACUCUGGAUAGGGAACCAAGGUUUCUCAAGGAGUGUUUUCCUUCUUAUUCUGAGAGUCCCUGCUGCAGACUUUGAGAGUUUUUUCCCUGCAAAUGAAGUUUAUUGAUGUCACAGCUCCAGAAAUGUUAACACACAUCCUGUUGUAAACAGAAUGUGUAAAUGUCAUACAUUUUUGCACAAGUAAUUUAGAAGUACUUUGAGCAAAAUAUGAGUUCACUGUUACCUCCCCCUCUGAAUACCAAAUUCCCCAGAGAGAACAUCAGUAGUUUGAUGUGUGUCAUUUCUAUCUUUUUCUAUGAAUUUAUAUUCUUUUAUAUGAGAUCAUACUACGUAAUUUGUUCUUAGCAUUUGCUCUUUUUAUUUAACAUCAUGUCUUGGAGAACUCUCUAUUUUAAGACUCAAAUUAUUUCUUUUUAUGUUUUAAACUUUAUAUAAAUAUGAUUUCAAACUUACAAGUUGCAAGACCAGUACAAGAAAUACCCAUAUAGUAUCCCUUACCCAGAUUCACCAAUUGUUUACAUUUUGCCUCAUUUACUUUCCCUCUCCUCUUUCUCCCCCAUAUAUGUUUAUACACACAUACACAUAUGCAUAUACAUUUUUUUCCUAUUCGAGGAUACAUUUUACACUAUUUGAGAGUUAGUCGGCAACUUGCUAUUGUAAACGAUAAAACACAAGGCCUGUAAUUGAUUUAAAAUUUUAAUAGAUGUUGCCAAAUUGCUCUCUAAAAAAGCUGAAAAGAUUGUGAGUACAUAUUUACCUAUUCUUAACCAACAUUUUAAUCUAUUUUUCAGUGUCUGGCAGAUGAGAAAUUGCUAUCUCAUUGUUUUAAUUUUAAAACAGGAAAACUGUUUUUGCAAGUUAAUUGACUGUUUGCAUUCAUUCUUCUGUUAAUUCCGUAUACGUGUGUAUAUAUAUAUAUAUAUAUAUAUAUAUAUAUAUAUAUAUAUAUAUAUAUAUCUUGCCUGUUUUUCUUUUGGGUGGUUUAACUUCCAAAAUGUGAACAUUUCGUGAAUGUACCUGUCUUUGCCCAGGGACUACACUGAUCUUCUCUGCAUGUUUGAGCUGUGGCGUGCAUGCUUGUAAAGAGAGUGCCUAAAAAGAGGUCCAUGAUUCAGGGUCCUCCCCACCCCACUCAGGGGUGAGGUAGGACUAUCUAGGCCCUGCCUUAAGGGACUAGAAAACUUCCAAUUAAUGUGCAUUAAUUUUAUGGUUCCUGCUCAGUUUUGAAUAUACCAAAGUAUAUUUCAUUACUUUGGGCUUAUAUGAAGUACAAUUUAAAAGAAAUUUAGAUUUCUUAGGUCAGAUGACAUAAAAGGAAUAUUUCUAACUAUAGUUCUUGCUCCUUUUGAACUUUAACUGAUACAAGGACAAAGGGGGGGAAAUCACAUUUUCAGAUUAAAUUUGCUCUUGUCGCUGCAUGUGCUACUAGGAAUUAAGCCCUGUUACAAAUCCUCCUUGUCUCCUCUAUUCCCGUUAGCAUUGUUUUUGCUGCAGUCAGGUACUGGCCUUCUGGAAUAUUCCUCCAGUGGCAUGCUGUACCUUAAGGUUGGGAGCAGCUAUAUAUACACAGGGUACAGGCUCUCUAGCCUCUUCCGAGCAUGCUAUUCUGGUGCCUUUGUUCUGUCUUAAGUUCCUCCAACAUUCAUCUUCCUCUUUCAGAGAAUCCUUGUUUUACAGAAGAGGCCGCUUGUGAAAGAGAGUGAUUUGAUCAAAUCACUAGCAGAAUUGGUGGGAAACUAGACUCUACGUUAGAACCUACUCCUGACUUCCAUUUAGUUCUUUGUACUGUGUCACACUGAUAAGUGAAUUUUUUAUAAGCGUAAUUGAUUUUAUUAAGUACACAGUAUUACUCAAGACUUUCGCUUCUGUGUCAAGUGAGUGAAACUGAACCCACAGUGGCUUAAACAUACAAGCAAAUGAAAUGGCAUCUGUUGGCUCAUGAAACUGAAAUCCAGGCACAGCUGGAUCUGUGGCCUGAAGUUACCAUCAUUCUCAUACCCCACCCCACCCCCAGCCUCCACUUUUUCAGUCAGGCCAUCCUUCCCGCAUGGAAGCAAGGUGCCCCCGCAGCUCUGGGCUGCCACCCUGACCUCUCAGCUGACCAGACAGAAAAGGGGCUUCUCUUCCUCCUACGUUUCAAGGGGUGAGGUCAACUUCAUCUAAACUCUGUAACCUAGAAGGAAGGGGAUGAGAGGAUACCCCAGGGGAAAGCCAGGGCUAGUAACAAUAGAAAUGGCAAUAGAGGCCGGGUGCAGUGGCUCACACCUGUAAUCCCAACACUUUGGGAGGCCAAGGUGAGUGGAUCAACUGAAGUCUGGAGUUCGAGACCGGCCUAACCAACAUGGAAAAACCCUGUCUCUACUAAAAAAAAAAAAAUACAAAAUUAGCCGGGCGUGGUGGCGCAUGCCUGUAAACCCAGCUACUCGGGAGGCCAAGGCAGGAGAAUCGCUUGAACCCGGGAGGCAGAGGUUGCAGUGAGCCAAGAUCGCACCAUUGCACUCCAGUCUGGGCAACGAGUGAAGCUCCAUCUCAAAAAAAAAAAAAAAAAGACAGUAGGUACUGAGCAAGCCUGGACAAUCAUACUUUGAAUUAAUGUCAUGUUCCAGCGUUUGGGUGGCCCUCUGAAACAGUACACAGUCAUCCUCCCAAUGCAGCUGUGCCCAAGAUGCUGCUCACCAGGAGACUGAGCUGUGCCCAGCUCUGUACUUCCUCUUUUUGAAUAGGUGUUCUUCCUCCUUUUCUAGUCCUAUCUUUGGGAGCUAGGCACUGCAUUUAUCUCCUUUUUAAUUUGAUAUCUCACCUUUUACACAUCAGUCACAUUAAUUACACAAAUGGACUGUUUAUGAGGAUCCCCUUGGAGAAGGUGCCAGGGAGUCCAAUUCUCCAAGGCUCUUUUGCCUUGGGUGCAGAAGGUUUAACUAACGUGGCUUGAGUACUUAGAUUGGAUGGAUGGGAGCCGAUUCCCUAGAACAGUCUGAAAAAAUAAAAUCGGAUGUUUUUAAAAUAUCCAGGGAAAGAUCCAGAGUAGAUGGACAAAUUCACUUAAACUUUAAAUGGUAAAAUGGAAGUGUUGUGCAGAUAUUUCAGUGGUCUUUAGAAUCUCCUACAUUGCCUAGUCCAAUUGUUUACACACAUUAGGGGCUUCAUUAACAUUUGCGUGUACAUGAGUGAGUUGUUGGAGGAAUUUUUAUCCCUUCUGCUUCCGUUAUUAGUGUUUGUCUUUUAAAAAGAAGAGUAAAAGGAAUGGUUUGUUAGGGUAGUCGGGACAAAUUACCAAGGCACCAAGAGGCACUCCUACACUCCUGCCGCCCUAAGCACUUAGGGGACGUCCUCCAAAUCAGACGAGUCAGCAGGCCUGUGCUCCUGCGCCAUGUCCCUGCUGUACGUGCACAUGUCCUUUUAAGUGAAGUCAAUAUAUUCCUCUUCACAGCUGCAUCCCAGUGCUCAAGGGAACUUCUUGAGAGUAAGAACCAAGACAUUUCGUCCUAGUUUUUCUACUACCUGCCACAUGGUAGGCGGCCACUAAACUGUGGAGUGGAUGAAAGCAUUUUCUUCCGUGAUGGUUCAUCUUAAAUGUCUUUUGAUAAUUAGCAUUUUAUUGAAAAUUAUAUUGUUUUAUCUGAGCAAAAUCUACUUAAAGGGUUCAUUGAACUUCAACAACAAGUGAAAUAAUAAAAGAACCCACACGAUGCACACGGUGGCUUGCCAGGGCUUGGGUGCCGGAGGGAGGAGACAGCUUCUGUGUCCUUUCUCACCAGCAGUCUCUGGCCCCAGUGGAGCCCCAGGCUCACCUCCCCUCUCCCGCUUUGUGUGCUCGGCCCCUGCAGCUGGAGUCUGCUUUACUUGAUUCAUGUUACUUGGUGUCCACACAGUUGCUGGCUCCUGAGUAUCUUCCGUGGCUUCUGAGUUCCUGAAACACAUUUUCCUCAGGUUUUGAGGCAUCUUUUUAAAGCUUGCUUUUAGUUUCGGAUUCACUCUAUGUCCCAUGCCAUACACCCAUCAGCCGUCUGCCUGGGAGAGUUUCUGGAAGCUCCAUGCCUCUUCAUAGGCACGUUGCCAUGUACCACAUGGCAGGCAGGUGUGACUGGAGCUUGGCAUUGCAGAGCCCCUGACUUCCAGGAGCUCAGAGCCUGGCAGAAUGGAUAUUCAAGAAAGAGCCCUCGUUUCUGAUGAUAGGGUCUGUUUGAAAAGCAUUGUGGUUGACAGAGCCAUGCCACGCUGUCUGCAGACCAGAGGCCGGGCCCCUCGCAGUGUUGAAAGUUCAGCCCUGCCGUUGUGGGUAGUGCUCCCUAAGGCAAGGGCAGAUGCCAGACUAUUGUUAAGAAGAUUAUACUAAACUGAUCCUUGUACAGCCCUGCUUCUCGUGGAGUGAUGACACCGAAUGAAUGAGAUAAACUGUCUCUUUUUAAAAAGUAAUUACCCCGAUAUAGUGAAUACCCAUCUCCUCCAGUGAUAUGGACCUGAUGUAAUUGGCUCUCAGUCUAGGAUCAUAAAUGGCAUCUGCCAAGGCAUCCUUAAUAGGAAAUAUUAAGAAAACAUUUUAAAGCUUAUCUCCAAAGUGUUUGUUACUGCAGGUUAUUUUCUGGACGAUGUAUUUGCUCUUCCGAGCAAGUGGAUUUGAUGCUCAAUUCUUCCAUUCACUGCGCCCCUCCCUGCCCUGGCUUUUGGGAAGAUAACAUUUCACAAUCAGGUUUAUUUAUGAUAACAUCUGGUCUGUCCUCCCUACUUUAUUAUUUAAGACUUGUUUGUGCUUAAAAAGAACUUUUUUUAAUGGGAACACACUAGGUUCUCAAAUAUACUUUCAGCCCAGUUACCUCAGUCAUAGUCAUCUCUCAUUUCUGUCUGCAGUUUAAGUUCUUAUUUAUGUCUGUGCAGUAAGGAGAGGGAGCGUGUUGCCAGGAGAAAAGCUGUAAACGGCUUUGGGCCUCAUCGUACAGCUACAGGUUGUACUUAGGACCCGUGUUAGCCACUUAGACUACAGCUGUGCACUGUGUCCCCCUCAUCCCCACCCCGACCUCCAGCUGAGAAAUAAUUAUCACAGAGUCCAUGCACUGAAAUGGAGGUGUUUAAUCACAAGAACACCUCCGCAGUGCCUGUGUGAUCGGCCGUCCCUAUGUGAGCUGCUGAUCUCAGAGACAGCAUUAGGAUGGCGACCACUGCCCCAGACGGCCCAGUGCUCUACCCCUAGCGUGAUCUGAACUGCUGAAGUCAGAGAAGUCCACGUUGGAUAAACAAAGCCAGCCCAGUAGUAACCUGGCUGUCACAGUGACCGUGUGUCCGUCUUACUGAACCUGGGUUUACGUGACUAGGAUGCUGACACAAGUGAGUUUGCGCAUGGCUUGCUGUUCUCUUCAACCCUCUCCAGCCUGAAUAGGAAUGUUAAACCCACUCAGGAAUUCUCGUUGGUCUAAAGGACUGUGUUCAUUGGUCUUUGACACUCCGUCAACCAACUUAGCGGGGUUGACCUGAGCCUUCGGACACGAUGUGCCUGUGGGUGCCUGCCUCUCCUCCCACGAGACAGACCUGAACUGUCUCCUCAGCUGCUCAGCUGAUUGUGAGAAAUGUAUUCUGUGACAAAGGCAGGCCACAUUUCAGCGUCUUUUCUGAAGUGGCAUGCUUAAUUCCGCAGGGGCAGUGGGGGGAUAUUUAGAAGCAGUCGGUGGGAGAGGAUGAACUGCUGAGUUUGAAGUAGUGAAAGGGGAAAUCAGUCAUAAAAUUCAUGUUUGAGAAUUACACCAGUGAAGCCGUUGACUGCCUGGGUCAGAGCCGAAGGGCCAUGUUUAGUGGCUGGGAGCCACUCGCCCCCAGCACUGGCUUUCUGCAUGCUGCACGCCUCUUAUGUCAAGUCUUUGCCUCCAUUUUUGUAGGACCUCUUCUUUUUCAUUUUUUUUAGUUUUAUUUGUUCCCCUUUUUAUUUUAUUUAUUUUUCAUUUGUUUAAAUGUAUGGGGUACAAGUGCACAUUUGUAACAUGCAUAGAUUGCAUAGGGAUCAAGUCAGGGCUUUUAGGGGAUCCCUCACCCACAUAAACAUACAUUUCACCAAUUGAGUAAUUUCUUACAUAGGACCUUUCUACUGUCAACAGUAAUUGUGGGAAUUGUUUCUACAGUGAUUUAAGCCUUGAAAGAAGUAACUUCCUCCUAGUAAAAUUGUAAAAUCAAAUGGUAAGAUGACGUGGUCUCUAAGGAGGAGUGUCUACAGCUUUAAUUACUACACUGCUAAUGGUGAGAGGGUUGUACAUUUUAUCUGGUAAGAGAAAGUCUGCCUCUCCCAUGGGCGGAUGAUAUGACUUUUAUUGAAUGGAAAACCGGAUGGAGAUUAUUUUUCAUCUUGCUAAUGUAGUUUUAAAUUAUGUAUUCCAUGUUCACAUUGUAAUUGUAGCAUUUUCUUGCAUGACACUUUCAGCAAAGUUUGGUAGCUGUUUCCCAUGCUUGGCAUUACCUCUAAAGGUGAAGUAACAUAAGAAUUGUAUAGGAAUACCAUGAGAGCAUAACGUGAGCAUUAUCAGCUAGGUGAGUGCGGAAGAUCACACUGUUUAAUUGCUGGAUUGCCAGCUUCUGACCCUUCUCUGGGAGUGCGGCUGCCUCUGUACCUGCUUCAUGACAGUACAAGCGUGAAGGCCACAGGAGAAAAAGAACAGGACCACACAGCCCAGACCAGCCUUGGAAGGCAUGACAUUGCGUACAGAGUGUAUCGGUUGCUUCUGAUUUCCGUGAUUUGAACCACUCUUUUAUUAUGGACUUCAAAGGGAAAAAAUGGAACUUUAAAUUCUGAUCCAGGAGAACCAGUAGCCCACAGGCAGUCCUUUGACCUCCUGACCUGCUAUGCAUCCUCUGCCCUGCAGCUUCUCACAUCCCCAGGUGGAAAUGCUGUGCCCCUUCAUCCAUACCGUGGCACUUCCUCACUGGAGGUCACCUCUCCUGUGCAUGGUCACAUUCUGCCUGUCUGUUGAGAGGCUCCGUUCUUCGCUGCGUUCUGCUUACCUGGUUAAGCCACAAAAGGUUCUAUGCUUAGACUAGACGUGGGAUUUAAAAGUUUCCAUGUUCGUGUACAGGAGUGUACAAAAUAUGCAUGAGCAAGUGGUCACAGUCAUAGACACACCGUGCCUUGGGGGGCCCCAGGUCAUAAGAUGGUGUUCUCUGUAUUUCACCUGACGCCUUUGGUUUUGUUGCUCUGUGAGAAUGAGGGCAGUCUUUUAAAGGAACUCAUCCAGAAAGAAAGGAGAAGCAAGUGUGUUGGAGAGAAGAUACAUUUAUCAUGUCAUUACUAAGCCCUGUAUUAAACUUAUUGUAAACACUAGGGUAAUUACUGACUCCCUCCAUGUGAGGAAUCAGGGAAGGGCUGCUGUGUCCAGGCUUUCCGGCGUCCGUAAGUGCUACCUCCAGCUAUUCAGUAGCUCCAGCCGAAAGCCAUGCCCUCCCCUUUCCUGCAUCCUUAUUAUCAGCUCUGCUGCUCACCAUUGCCACCACCUUGUCCAAGCAAUUGACAUCAGUCUUUAUUGCCUUUUUCCAAUCCAUUUCUCACACACCAGGAGGAUUUUUUAUAGAUGUAAGUCAUAUAUUACUGCCCUGCUUAAGGGUGUGUCUUCGCUUUCUGGUGUACUUGAGAUAAAAUUCAUACUUUUUUUUGUUUGUUUUUGAGACGGAGUCUCCCUCUGUUGCCCAAGCUGGAGUGCAGUAGCACCAUCUCAGCUUGCUACAAGCUCCGCCUCCCGUCUUCAUGCCAUUCUCCUGCCUCAGCCUCCCGAUUUAGCUGGGACUACAGGCUCCCACCACCACGCCUGGCUAUUUUUUUUUUUUUAUUUUUAGUAGAGAUGGGGUUUCACCGUGUUAGCCAGGAUGAUCUCGAUCUCCUGAUCUUGUGAUCUGCCUUCUCGGCCUCCCAAAGUGCUGGGAUUACAGGCAUGAGCCACCGCACCUGGCCAAAUUUCAUACUUCUUACUGUGGCCUACAGGACCCUUUGGGGCUGGCCUUUCAUUGCUUACUGGGCUUCCAAUAUGCUAGGCUCCCUCCACUUUCUGGAAUUGGCCAAUUUCUUUCCUCCUGUUUUGCACAUGUAUUCAUAUAUAUACAUAUACACACAUACCUUUUUUUUUUUUAAUCUGGUUGACCUCUUAUCCUUCUGGCCUCAGCACAGACGGCACUUCCUGGGAGAAGACUCCCCGAUUUUCCCCCUCCAUCUAAAACAUAGCGCUCAGCCACAGUUCUAGUUGCAUGCUUAAUGUGUUGGUUUCUUUACCUAAGCUAAGCUGCGGGAAGUUAGGCAGCACAUAUGUUUAUUUACUCAGUCUCACGGCAUUAGCACCUGGAACAACACCAGGCAGUGCUCACUUGCUCAGGUUUGUUAAACAGUGACUCUGAUUUUUGUGUCUUUGUCUUGUUGCCAGAUUAAGUUCUUGUCUGUGGUUUUAUGGCCAGAAGAGGCACACAUAAAUGAAUGAGUACUCUGCCUUUAACUCCCUUCAUACUUUCUGCUCUUUUCCUUCUGUCCAAUUUAUUAAGCACACUGCAUACUAUGUGCCAUGUCAUGAGGUUCACUGGGUGACCCCCAUGGGACCAUGUGACUGAUUUGUCCUCUGAAAGCCAGUGCUUGCUGGGCUGGGGAGAAGCCAGUUGCACAAAAGGUUAUAACAUAAGGCAACAGGUAAGUGCUCUCAGCUGAGCAACUUAAGAGACUGUGUUCAAAGGCUCAAGGAGCGAGCAUGUCUGGUUGAGGUCUGCAGAAACUAUGAAGAGGGAAAAGGUGUCUCCGUGGGCCUGGAAGGAUUAGUCGGGUUUUUAUAAAGCAGCAGUGUUGGAAGCGAUGGUUUGGAUAGAAGGCAUGAAGUGGGUAGUGGAGUGUUUCUGAUGGUUUAUACACCUCUAGACCUUACCUGAGAAAGGAUUUUUUUUUUUUUUUCCCCAAGACGGAGUCUCUCUCUGUCGCCCAGGCUGGAGUGCAGUGGCACGACCUCGGCUCACUGCAAGCUCCACCUCCCAGGUUCACGCCAUUCUCCUGCCUCAGCCUCCCGAGUAGCUGGGACUACAGGCGCCUGCCACCACGCCCGGCUAAUCUUUUUUUUGUAUUUUUUAGUAGAGACGGGGUUUCACCGUGGUCUCGAUCUCUUGACCUCGUGAUCCACCCGCCUUGGCCUCCCAAAGUGCUGGGAUUACAGGCGUGAGCCACUGCGCCCAGCCGAAAAAGGAUUUUUAAGGCAGUUGACAGUUUGGAAAUACAGGGAUAUAGUGUUCUGUUUUUAAAUCCAAGCGAAGAUGUCAUGACAAACUGAAAUGAAAACAUAUUAAAGCCAGGGUUAUGGUUAGUCCAGUCCAGGGUAUGCAUGCCGUGGCAUUGGUGACUGCAGGUGGGCUGCAGAUUUGGCUUUCAGCUGUCUGGUGGCAUGUGAUAAGAGUGUGCUGAUGAGUCAGAUCCACAGUGCUCUCACACAUACAUGCGCACAGUAGUUGCUCCGUAGAAGUAUAACUGUGCACGGUAAUGAGACUUGAAAAACAGUUUUGCCCUAGGUCAUUAGGAAAGUUUUUCCUGGUUUAGUGAACAAAAUGUGUCCGCACCACUUUCUUCACAAUUGAUACAGUAUUCAUGGUACUGUUUGCUAAAGGGGGUCCUUGGUUUGUAGCCAGAGGCACAAACCACUUUUGGUAUUGGUUCUAGGGAUAGCUAAAAGCCUCAGAGUUCAUGUCAUAGAGCAUGGUGUUUCUAACCCCCGCCCCUUAGCUUUAAAUAAAAUAUUAGAAAAGAAUCUAUAAUUUUCAAAAUUAUUUAACUUUAAAUAACUUCCUAGGUUAGUUUUAAACCUUUAGGGGUUACAGGACAUCCACUUUCAAAUUUCACCUUCCAGUAAGUAAAAACAUGACUUACAAAUACAGAAUCCAUUCAUGUCAAGUAUUCAUUUAACUCAGCGAAGGAAUCAAAAAGAUAGUAAAGUUGAGUCAAAGAAAAUGCAGGAGACCAUGUGUAGGCACUGAAACAACGCUGGGAUAGUUUCAGAGAAAGAGACAAAACCGGUUAACGGCCUGCAGGGCAGCCAUACUAACCUUUGCUGUUGUCUUUUCUCCUGAGCAGGUGUCAUUUCAAUCUCUAAGCAAUGCCAUUGAUUUAUAUCACUCUCAGUUUUCUAAAAUUGACAUCCAUAUGGAGCUGUAAAAUACUCUAAACAGCGCUAAACAGUCAAAUGAAGGUACAUGGCCAUAAAGAACGAGAUGAUCCCUGGUGGGAGUGGCUCCCAGUGCCCCAGCAUGAUGUUGAAAAGAUACGUGGUCCUUUCACCUGUUUCCAAGUUGGGAAUUUUUUUUUUUCCUGACCAUUAGGAAAAAUGUUGACGUUGGUUUUGGUGAAUCUGAUUUGACCCAUUCUUCCUGGGAGUAAUAGGAUAACACGGCCGCUUCUCAUUUGUGUAGACAACCCCAGCUCAUCAUCAUCUGCACGUGGCCUGGAGGGUCACUGUUCCCUGCAGUGGCUCCUUGGGAGAGGAGUAGCACCCUGUUCAUCAAAAGCAGGUAGCAAGGCGCACUUACAGUUGCUGACUGGCAGGGGCGGAACGCCGUAGGGCUUUGUAGCCAGGGUAAGAAGUUUGGGUUUUUUUCAGAUGGUGAAGGGAUUGAAGUGGAAACAUGAUGUGUGCUGAUUGACAUUUGACAUUUGAUUGUCUUCUCAGUCCAUUUUCAGAUAUUUGUGAGAGAAUAUCUGAAACUACGUAAUUUACAAAGAAAAGGAAUUUUUCUUUCUUGAAGUGAUAGAUGCUGAGGAGUCCAGGAUCAAGGGGCCCCCUCUGGUGGAGCCUCUUUGCUGGUGAGGACUCUGCUGAGUUCCCAGGCAUCACAUGGCGAGGGGGCAGAGCCUGCUUAUGUGCCAGCUCAGCUCACUCUCCCCCUCUUCUUAUGAAGCCACCAGUCGCACUCCCGUGAUAACCCAUUCAUGAGGGCAGAGCCCCCAUGACCCAAUUGCCUCUUAAAGGCCCCUCGUCUCAAUACUGCCACACUGGGGGUUACAUUUCAGGAUGUGUCUUGGAAGGGAUAAAUGUUCAAACCAUAGCAGCUGCUGACUGCUCUGAGGAGAGUGACUUGCCGGUGAGGUGGACUAGCAGAAGUCAUCAGAGCCUUUCUCAGAGUCCAGGCCAGGCUGUUAAUGCUGGUGGCUUGCAGAUGUAGACCAGCAUUACUAAACUCUUAAAAGUUUGUUUCCCUGGGAUCAAAGCUAACUUGGCAGAGACCUUAUUGUGUCUUCAGAAUUUUCUUCCCAGUGCUCGAAAUUCGAGCCAAGGAACGAAAAUCUCUUGAAUGAGGGUAAUUUUAUUAACACUCUUCCUUAUUAUUUAAUUAAAAUUUUUUUAUUUCAGGGGUGGUUUUAAGUGCCAUCUUUUAAAGCAUUACAUCGGUAAUUUGCUAAUCUGAGCUUCUCUCCUCUCCACAGCAUGAGGCCCUGAUACAUUUAGGGCCUCUGUUAAAAAGCAAAAAGUGUGUGGCAGUGGCAAUAGAAUCACCAAAGCUAAAAUCAUAGAGAAUGGUGGCUCGUAGUGUUUUAAAACUGUUUGAAAAGUGAUUAUAGGAUUGGGGAAAAGUUGAUACUUCCAUCUUUAAGCAGAUAACAGAAAGCCUGGUUGCAUGACUGGCAAACAAUUUUAGAUUUAAAAACAACAGCCCUUGGCUUUAAAAUACUUCCACCUUCUUCCGGCCUUCCAGGGAACUCUCUAUACUUCCUUACUAGGAGGGUUAUACUGGACAAAAGAGGACCGUCUAGUCUAGGGAUCAGCACGCUUUUCCUUUAAAGAGCCAUUUAGUAGAUAUUUUACACUUUGAGGCCAGACGGUCUCUACUACUACUUAACUCCACUAUUGUAGCCUGAAAGCAGCCAAAGACAACAGGUAAACAAAUGAACGUGGCUUACAAAACUUUAUUCACAAAAACAGGAAGCAGCCCAGAUUUGGCCAGGAGCCCUUGUUGGCGGAGCCCGGGUCUAGCCUGUUGGCCACCCAAGUUCUUACCUGUCUCCUCCUAACCUUCUCACCUUGGGAAACAUAAUUUAUUACCAUGUAUGCCUGAGUCAUAGAGGACUGACUGCUCUCUCUAUGGUUUCUCCUCUCCUAGGAGUGGACUAUUGUUGAUUUUUACUUGGUUCUUGCUAGGCUGGGAUAGGGGCUGCAGUGGAGGGUGGGAACAGGGUAAUCUUUGGUUGUUCUGGUCUUAGGCCCUGUGUGUCUCACCUGUGGGGGUGAAGUGUUUCAUGAUUUUUUUCUUCUGCUCAAGGAGUGAAAGAGUUCUUUUUUUUUUUUUUUUCCACACUCUCCUUCCUUUGGCACUAGUAGAUCAACAGGGUUUGCUGCCCUUCCCCCAGAGGCCAGAGAGAGGGCAGGGCAGGAGAGUACGGCUCCGUGCUUUUCUCAUGGGGGUGGCACGUCCUCUCCUCUGUGCCUGAAAGCCUGCUUCACCUCCACACUUUCUCAUUAGCGAACUGCUACGCUGUCGUGCCAGUCCACACGCAGCCUCUUGCAGGUCUUUAGAAGCUCAGCUGAGUUUCUUACUAUUAUCUGUCUCUUGUGUUCUGCCGCAGUUGAGACAGUCCACAUGGCCCCAGCUUUCCUUGCAGCGGCUCAUCUUUCCUCAGAUUGCAGGCUGUGUGGCUGCCUUGCAACCUCAGCCAUCCUGCAAGUUCAAGAACAGUUGUAAUUGAUAGUUUAUCCAGCUGUAACCAGCGUUUUAGCUGUGCACGGGCCUAUUCUUCAUUCUGAGCUAUUAAGCUGGUUUUCAUUUGACUUUGGUUUGCAUAGAACACAGGGUUUGCAGAAUGGGUUUGUGACUGGGGUGGGUUGUGACAUGGUUUCUUAGAACGGGGCCCACACAUGGCCCACGCAUAGAGGUGUUUCAGUACAGCAGUAACAGCCCGGCACGGUACCACAGUGUUCACAGUUGUGGGAACAGGGUGAAGAGUAGACUGUCCUCCAGCUGGGAGAGUAGGCAGGGAUGAGUCGGUGCAAGUGGACGAGUCCAGGACAGAGCUGGCUUCUGAGCCUAGGAGGUCGGGCACGUAUCCUUGCCUUUAUUCACUGUGCCCUGCCUGUGGUUUGCAUGUGAGAACACACAUCUCUGUCUUGUGUGCUGGGGCUGGCCCAACCUCGUAGAUCAUGUUUAACUCUGUGUUGUUAGGCAUAACCACAGUCUACUUUAAUGACAGCAGAUGCCCCACUGUUUAGUCACACUGCAAAGAGCAUCCUUUCGAUCACCUCCCAGUGGAAAUCCAUGAUGAUGAAUAAAUUCCUAGAUUCGGAUUUGUCAAAGAUUUGUUUUGUUUUGUUUAAUAUUUUUGAUACAAGUUGUCAAACCAUCUUCCAAAACACAUUUUACCACUCUGCUCUCUAGCCAGUGAACACAUUUUGCUUGGCCCUGAUAUUAGGGUUGUUUUGGGUGUUUGAUAAACUUAUGUGUUUUGACAUUAGAAUUGUAAACCAAAAAUAGCAUUCUAAGCCCUGCAGCUUGGAAUGUGAACUGCCUCUUGGCCAAGGGGACCCUAAAGAAACCUACAUAACUAGUUCAGGCCAUAAUGUGGGGGAUGGGGGCAGACACACCUCAUUAUACCCUUACCGCUUUGGAGUUUAGACACAACUGACUAGCAUUAACAUUAAAAGAGAAAUCCUAAUACUGACAGAACAGACUCUGUAGCAACCAGAUACCAACUUCCAACCUGAGUCAGGUAGAGCAUCACAUGACAGAUAAUAGGUGCCCUGAAGGAAGCCAAAGUAUUUUAUCCCAAAAUAUAACUUGACAUAUUCUGCAAUGCCCCUGUAAAGCUCUCUUGUGGGGGAAAUUUUCAUUCUGUAGAGAAUCUCCUUCCCUUACCAGGUCUUUUCCAGAGAGGCUGACACCUUUUCAGCUCUGAUAAGAGACAGUCACCCUAUAUAUGAAGCCUGCUACCUGGAGACUUCGUCUGUACGGCAAGAAGCUUGGCUUCCACACCUCCAUAUCUAAACUCAAGCAUUUCUUUAUUCUGGAUUCACCUCUUCAGAUAGGGCUUACUCUUGCAACCAAUUGCCAGUUAGGAAAUCUUUGGAUCCACCCAUGACCUGGAAGCCUCCCCACCCCGCCACCCCAUCCUGCCUUCCUAGGCCAAACCAAUGUAUACCUUACAUGUAUUGAUUUAUGUCUUUGCCCAUAACUUCUGUAUUCCUAAAAUGUCUAAAGCCAAACUGUAACCCAGCCACCUUGGCACAUGUUCUCAGGAUUUCCUGAGGCUAUGUCAGGGCCAUGAUCCUUAACCUCGGUAAAAUACACCUCUAAAUGGAUUGAGACUUGUCUCAGAUACUUUCUAGUCUACAGAAUGAUUAACUUGAUUGCUUUAAACCUUCAGGUUUGGAGUGGCCAUCUUUUUUACAAACUGCAUACCUCUAGCCUUCUCUUAGGAGAUGACGCUACAUGCCAAAUGUUUUAAAUUUCAAGGAUAGUCUUUAUAUAAAAUCUAUGUACUUGUGGAUAAUUUCCUCAAAGAACUCAUGAGAUGAGAAACUCUCGACUGAAGAGAACUAAAAAUAAAGACUGAGUGAAUGUCACAACCACUGAGAACAGGUUUUGAAAAGUUCACUGUGAGGUAAAUGAAGACCCUGUUCUCAUGGUCUGAAAAUUAAUUGAAAGGCCAACAGAAUGACGCCUGGAAGGGUGACCAGAUGUAUCGGGGGGGGGCGGGCAGUUUCUGUCCCCUGGCCUGCCUCCCCCUCUUUCAGUGAUGCUGACCAUUCACCUUUAUCUGAGUGGUUCAUUCCAGCCAAGCAGCUGAGCCUGUGAGGACAGAGGCAUCUCUCCAUUCUCUCAACAGCCUGUUUCUCUCUAAAAUAAAAUCACAUAUUUCCAUUUUCUUAUGAUGCUUCCUAAUUCCAAGGAGGUGUAGUGUGUAGUGAUCCCCUCAUGCUGGGCAGGUACCCCGGAUGGAGGCCUGGCCACGUGCACGGCCCACUGCCACACCUCCACCUCUGACAGGUGGGCCCUGAGGCUGAUGGGGAGUCCAGAGCACCCUGCCCACCAGAGAACUUCAGCUUUGAUCCGUUUUGUUUUUGAGGUUCCAAGUAAGAUUUUUCUUUAGGAAGGAAAAAAUAGCUCUGUAUACAGGGGCAAUGCUAGGAAAACUGUUGCUUUUCUGUACUUUGUGGAUUCUACUGAGUUUGUAACCUGCCCUGUCUUAUCAAAUCGUUUGCUUUCAUGGUUAUUCCUUCCUUAUGGUUUUGGGGUGGUUGAGUGUCUAUGUGUGUGUUGGCUUGUUUUCUUUUAAAGAACCUCAUGGAGAAAUUUAUCUUAGAUCUUAGAAGUACCAGAUUGUCUUUUGAAGUCAUAGGUUUGUUUUUGUCUUAGAAUCUUCGUUUUAAUGGCGUUUCCAUCCUUGCUUUGGCCUCUAGAAACACCAGAACUGAGUAUGUGGCUUGCUUUUAGGAGCUAACCACAAGACUGACUGUUUCUGUGUGGUGGUUCUGCCGCUAGCUUCUUGUUGGGGUUUGUUAGACUUUGAGUAGCUUUGCCUUUGUAGUUUUAAGGGAGGUCUAUAAUGUAUACUAAUACUAAUACAUUGUAACCAAGCAUAGAGCCUCAUUAUGAUAGCAGUUGAGACACAGUUAAAAUUAAUGUAAAUGUUACUCAAGUUUAAACUGUUUCUCUAAUCUCCGAUUUACAGAUGAAGUGGGGGGCAGAAGUCAGAAGUUAAUUGUCCUUUGGUGUAGUCUGCUGUUAGAAUACUGAGAAAUUGAUAGAAAUGGCAGCACUGAGGAAGGAUUAAAAGUAUAGAUGGCAAGUUUUCAUUCUUAGGCUGUUGCUGUUGGCAUUGCAGGGAGAAGGUUGAAGUAGACAUGAUGAUGAAUAUCAGCAAACACCUUGAACCCCUCCUUACUCUGGGUAAUUACAGAUGUACUUCCAAAUGAGGUGUCUGAAGUUCUGCCCUCUGUGAGGUGAACUAGGGGUGGAAAAUUAGCACUUGAACGUCUUAGCUUAGAACACAUUGGAUGCAAUAACUAUAGGUUGUGAGCUAAUUUUCUUUGAAGUAGAUGUUUGCCUGUAGCUACUAUUCAUGUAUCUACCCAAGAUAGUAUCUUCCUUUAAUAUCUAGGUUUUGAAAUUAACGGCCACACACUGUUAAUGAAAUAGAGAAAUUAGAUUGUAAUUGAUCAGUUGUCUUAUGAAAACAAUAGUUGCAAAAGCCAGUUGGUUCUGAGAGUCAGGAUAAACAUGAAGAAAAGUAUUGAUCAUUCAAUCCCAUGUCAAAGUAGAAUCAUUUCUGCAGGAAAUGUAGUUUUUGAAGAUGUGAUCAAUAAUAAGAUCCCACUGCUGGAGAAUUAUACCAUGUCGAUAGCUAUGGUUAUUUUUGUAUUUUCAUUUGUCCUUUUUAAUUGUUGUUGUUAUUGUUAAUUCUGCCUUAUUCUCUGCACUGAAAAGAAAGGUUGGGUGAUGUUCUGCCCCCCCCCCUUUUUUUUGGCACUUUGAGGUGACAUUAUAACAUAAAGGUUGUUGCUUUUUUCUCUCCAAUAUUUGAUGUAUUUUCAAAGGCUUUAAAAAGGAAAUAACUAAAUUUAAAGUACCACCUGUCUUGUUUAAUUUGCUUUAGGAAUUUAUCCCUAUAUGCUUAGUUAGAAUGAUAGGAUUGAUAUUGCGUAGUAAUUUCUGAUGUUUUUGUUUUAGUUUGUCAAAAGUAAAACUAAAUAGCAUGAAUUUGCGUCUGUAAUUAAAGAUUGACCGCGCUUGAAUAAAGUUUUCCAUUAACUUCUUCAAA